UGGGGAUUAGCUCAGCUGGCUAGAGCGCCUGCCUUGCACGCAGGAGGUCAUCGGUUCGACUCGAUAUUCUCCACGA
rnacentral:tRNA from 1 species